rnacentral:rRNA from 1 species
UACGAAGGGUGCAAGCGUUACUCGGAAUUACUGGGCGUAAAGCGUGCGUAGGUGGUUUGUUAAGUCUGAUGUGAAAGCCCUGGGCUCAACCUGGGAAUUGCAUUGGAUACUGGCAGGCUAGAGUGCGGUAGAGGAUGGCGGAAUUCCCGGUGUAGCAGUGAAAUGCGUAGAGAUCGGGAGGAACAUCUGUGGCGAAGGCGGCCAUCUGGGACAACACUGACGCUGAAGCACGAAAGCGUGGGGAGCAAACAGG